UAAUGGCUUACCAAGGCGACGACGGGUAGCCGGCCUGAGAGGGUGACCGGCCACACUGGGACUGAGACACGGCCCAGACUCCUACGGGAGGCAGCAGUGGGGAAUAUUGCACAAUGGGCGCAAGCCUGAUGCAGCGACGCCGCGUGAGGGAUGACGGCCUUCGGGUUGUAAACCUCUUUCAGUAGGGAAGAAGCGAAAGUGACGGUACCUGCAGAAGAAGCGCCGGCUAACUACGUGCCAGCAGCCGCGGUAAUACGUAGGGCGCAAGCGUUAUCCGGAAUUAUUGGGCGUAAAGAGCUCGUAGGCGGUUUGUCGCGUCUGCCGUGAAAGUCCGGGGCUCAACUCCGGAUCUGCGGUGGGUACGGGCAGACUAGAGUGAUGUAGGGGAGACUGGAAUUCCUGGUGUAGCGGUGAAAUGCGCAGAUAUCAGGAGGAACACCGAUGGCGAAGGCAGGUCUCUGGGCAUUAACUGACGCUGGGGAGCGAAAGCAUGGGGAGCGAACAGGAUUAGAUACCCUGGUAGUCCAUGCCGUAAACGUUGGGCACUAGGUGUGGGGGACAUUCCACGUUUUCCGCGCCGUAGCUAACGCAUUAAGUG
rnacentral:rRNA from 1 species